AGUUUAUACCGUAGCUUGCUACACCAUAGACUGUGAGUUGCGAACGGGUGAGUAACGCGUAGGUAACCUGCCUAUUAGAGGGGGAUAACUAUUGGAAACGAUAGCUAAUACCGCAUAACAGUAUGUAACACAUGUUAGAUGCUUGAAAGAUGCAAUUGCAUCGCUAGUAGAUGGACCUGCGUUGUAUUAGCUAGUAGGUAGGGUAAUGGCCUACCUAGGCGACGAUACAUAGCCGACCUGAGAGGGUGAUCGGCCACACUGGGACUGAGACACGGCCCAGACUCCUACGGGAGGCAGCAGUAGGGAAUCUUCGGCAAUGGGGGGAACCCUGACCGAGCAACGCCGCGUGAGUGAAGAAGGUUUUCGGAUCGUAAAGCUCUGUUGUUAAGGAAGAACGAGUGUGAGAAUGGAAAGUUCAUACUGUGACGGUACUUAACCAGAAAGGGACGGCUAACUACGUGCCAGCAGCCGCGGUAAUACGUAGGUCCCGAGCGUUGUCCGGAUUUAUUGGGCGUAAAGCGAGCGCAGGCGGUUAGAAAAGUCUGAAGUGAAAGGCAGUGGCUCAACCAUUGUAGGCUUUGGAAACUGUUUAACUUGAGUGCAGAAGGGGAGAGUGGAAUUCCAUGUGUAGCGGUGAAAUGCGUAGAUAUAUGGAGGAACACCGGUGGCGAAAGCGGCUCUCUGGUCUGUAACUGACGCUGAGGCUCGAAAGCGUGGGGAGCGAACAGGAUUAGAUACCCUGGUAGUC
rnacentral:rRNA from 1 species